CUUCUCACCCCGAAAGGGACUCAGGGCAGACCACAUUAUAUACAUAUACACAUAGAACCGAGAGAUCAUCCACUGUGACGGCACUUCCUCAUUCCAACGUCAUAAAUGAGUUAAAUUUGCCUCCCCAUUUUAUAAGUGGUACCUUAUUUCCUACUUGAUAGAUGCAACUAUCUUUUGGGUUGCUAGGUCCUUUGGCUCUGGGAGUUGUAGUUCACCCUUAUAUAGACAGCACUGAACCCAGCCAACUUCGGAUCUGGACCAAACUUGGCACACUGCCUCAUCAUAUCCAACUGAGCAUACAGGCAGGGUUUUGGGGUGAUUGUCCUUUGGCUCUGGGAGUUGUAGUUCACCCUUAUAUAGUUAGCACUAAACCCAGCCGACUUCGGAUCUGGACCAAACUUGGCACACAGCCCUAUCAUGCCGAACUGUGCAUACAGGCAGGGUUUUGGGGUGAUUGAUCUUUGGCUCUGGGAGUUGUAGCUUACCUUAUACAGACAGCACUGAACCCAGCUGAUGACGGAUCUGGACCAAACAUAAGUAAUAUUUCCUCACAUCCCCAAACAACUCAAUGCCGUCUACUAAUAACCCGGGCACCGCCGGGACCCCAAGCUAGUUGUAGAAUAUAUUUAUAGAGUGGAGGCGUUAAGGCAGAAGCUUAUCAUUUUACAUUUUUAUUGUUAUUAUUGUUCAUAAGUAUAUUUCUACGUGUUGCCUUUUAAAGUUAUGUUUUGGUGACCUUUUUCUGUAUUUUUUUGAAAAUAAAAUUCACUUUUAUUUAAUUUUAUGUGCCUACUAAAUUCUUCUGGUUUUUAUUAUUAUAACCAUAGUUUAUCUACCUGGUUCAAUGGUAUAUUCCAACAUUAUAAUCCAUUUACUAUAAUGCAAAGUUAUUACAACUAUAUUAUAUAGCUAGGAAUAAUGAAACAGAGUGCCUUACCAUAAAUUUGGGUCAGCUGUAAUAUUGUUAGAGAUCAUAAAUCAAGUGAUAUGUUAAAGAUAACAAAAAUAUAUAUGAAGUUACUAGAAAAAUGAAAUAACCCAAGAGAAAGAUUGCAGAUCAUAUAAAGUUACUAGCUGUGCCCGGCCACGCGUUGCUGUGGCGUUGUCUGGUGGUGUUGGUGAGAAAUUGUUGAGGUAGUGGUGGUAUUGAAUGUCUGUUGUACGGUUGUCUUUAUGUUUAGUAUGCACACUGAAGUGGAUUAUAUGGCAGUGUGGACUCAAGAUAAUGCAGUGCAAAGCAGAUAAUAUAAGAUUCUAAAUGGGUUAUAUAGCUGUGUGGAAGGGCCUUGAGUCUACACUGCCAUAUAAUCCAGUUGAAAUCUGAUAAUCUGUGGAAGAGGCCUAAGUGAGGCCUAACUGUGCCUGUCCCCUGGGCUGAGGAGGUUGCUAGGAGACCAAGUGGGCGGAGCUUAGCCCUCUAACUGGCAGCAAUUGGAUAAAAACAAUUAUUCCUCUCCCUCUAAUUAGGACUUUAUUUUUCUUUUCUUUUUGUUGUAUCAACCUAGAGGCGUGGAUGAUGGGUUGUGUUGUCAAAUUUCGAGGUUGGGGGGCCUGUAGUUUUGUUGUUUUGUCUGCUGCCCUGAUGCCAUCACUCUUUUAUAUAUAUAGAUGACCACUCCUCUCUCAUGCAUAACAUAAAAGUACAAAAAUAUACAAACAGGCAGAAUAAACUUUCGCCCACUGCGCAGCUGGGGGAGGGAAGUGGCUUUGCCCCCUCCCACCGAAAGGGAGAGCUGAGUGGGCGGGGCUUUUCGGUAGUAGCCCGCCCACUUGAUCACUCACUUUCUGGACGUCAAGGAGGAAGGUUGGAAAAGUGAGGGUUCCAGACCACCUGAGGCUAGGAGAGCAUCGCACGUCGUUGGAAUCACCUUGCUUCUUCUGGCUAGAGGUCUGUAGGUGGGAGGAGCAGGCAAGCAACAGAAAUACAGAGGCCGCAUCUGCUUCUCCUCCUCACCUCCCUGGCUCCUAUCUUUAAAAGGCUUUUGUUUUCGUUUCUAUCCUCAUUGCAGUAACUUAGAGAUUUUGGAGGGGUGUGUGUGCUUGAGGAGUGUGCCUCCCCUCCUUACUCCUUUCCUCCUUUGGACGCGUUCACCUCUCCUGCUUCCUUCGCUCUGUGCAGUUUGGAGUUGUUUUGGGCACCGGUGGGGAUGCUAUAUUUGUUGAUAAUUAUCUUUGGCCUGGUGGCCAUUUUUUAGUCAUGUUUUCCCACCAUUGGGACUCCAAGGGUGAGUUGCUAGGCAGAUUUCGGCAUCCGUUGGGGAUUGCUGCCAUUUUGGAUUUCAAAUACACAGUGUGGUAUAGUUCUGGAUAUUUCUAGUUGCUGACGGGCAGCCAUUUUGUUUGGCCUCGUGGCCACUUCAUGAGUUCGGUCGGCCAUUUUGUGUUGGAGCGGUGGCCAUUUUUGUUAAGGGCAUGGUAACCAUGUUCGUUUGGGCCGGGCAGCCAUUUUGUUGGAGCGGCAACCAUUUUUGUUAAGGGCAUGUUAAUUUGGGCCAGGCGGCCAUUUUGUUUUGGGCACAGCAAAGUUUUUGCGAGCAGUGGCCAUUUUUGUUGAGGGCAUGGUAGCCAUAUUAAUUCGGGCUUGGCAGCCAUUUUAUUUUGGACACGGUGGGCAUUUUGUUUUGGGCAUGGCAGCCAUUUUAUAUGGUUAUUGGUCCGCUGGGCCUUAGCAGCCAUUUAGUUUCUUUAGUUUUGAUACUCAUUUUGUCUUGGUCAGAGGGUGCUGGUUUAAAGUUUUGGCUUUGGCUCAUAGCCUUGGCUUGGCAGCCUGUCGAGCGGAAUCAUGGUCAUGCUGGAUGCAGCCUCGGGUUUAAUUUAAGUGAUGAAUCCAGUUGAAAUGUUAAUGGCUAUAAUGGCUGUAGGAUAAUGAUGAUGAUGAUGAUGACGAUGGGAAUAAUUGGGUCGGCUACACCAAUAGCAGGGCACUUAUUUAUUCUUGUCGUAUUGGGGUUCAGGACUAGCCUUGCACAGAUUUACACUCUUGUUGUCCUUGGCCAAAGGUAACAGAGGUUAAUUAUUUAAGCAUAUAUAUUUUUUCAUUGUUUUACAGUAUGGCAUCUAAGAAGAACAUUGGCAGGCCAAAAGGCAAGGGCCCGGUGAAGAAAGCACCUGCUAAAUGCCCUCCCCCACCAAGUGCGUCUUUGGAUGAAGAAGAGGUUUUGACCCAGCUGCUGAAGGCGCUAGUUGCACGUAUUGAUGUGCUUGAGAGAGAAAAGGCAGUGGCUGCCACUAGAGAAGCUCAGCGGCCCAGUGCUGACUUUAAUGCUAUUUUAAUUUUAAUAAAAUUUUAAUAAAAUCUUUGUGUUCACAAAUUUCUGCUCUAGAGGAGGAGAGGCGGACCAGUUUGCCAGCCACAGAUGAGCAGUUGGCUACUUCAACAUCUGUAAUUGCCAAAGUCGUUCCAUCCAGCUCGGCGGCGGCAGUAGUUCAGCCUGGUGCAGUGGACGUGCGCGGUGCUGCCAGUGCUUUAGAACCCGUCCUGUUGGCGAGUAGACGCGUCCUGAUUUGUGGGCACAGCUACGUACACUGAGCUGAGCGACAGGCGCGCAGAUGUCCCUACGGCCAACUUCUCGGCCUCACUACCAUGGCCUUCAUGGAGUGGACGGGAAGAAGAGGUCUUUGGUGCUGACAAUGACUUGGAUCUGCUGAUGGGCAGGGCCCUGUUUUUUACAAGUUUUUUAAAUGGCAUGCACAAGGUGAAGGAGUGUGUACCCUCGAAUACGCUUGUCAUGGCCCGGUUUGUACAAGUUUGAUUGGCAUGCACAAGGUGAGGGGUGCGUGGCCUCGAACACACUUGUCAUGGCCCUGUUUGUACAAGUUUGAAUGACAUGCACAAGCUUUGAGAAGUGUAGCCUCGAACUGGCUUGGCAUGGUCAGCUAUUAUUCCCAGGCCACAUCGGCCACAUGCCGAUGGCAAAAAGUUGGACAAAGCUUGGAAAUGUUUCAAUUGGGGCCUGAGUAAAGUUUUGGCUGGUGGAAUGGGUUAUAUAUCCCAUAAGACACUUUAAGGUUCAAUGAUCCAAACCUAUAUCAGGCUGAUGGUACCCAUCUUUCUGAACUGGGCAACCAAAUAUUUUGGCCGAUCGGCAAAAAGGAAUCAAGGGAAUUCUUGAGGAUUUGGUGGGGGUCAGGAGCUAAAUAGACAUUUGCUCUUGAACUGUGGCAGAAUGCUUAGGGGAAUCAUAUAUUUUGGUGUGGACCACAAGGCACCUCAGUUUUGGUGUAGGCCAGAGGCAUGAAUCCUCGCCUAGGGUUUAUACAGAAACGGCGAGGGUGUAUAAUGGUGUGUUUAUGGCCUAGGAAUGGGAGGUUUUCACCUCAAGCAUUUCGGAGGCAGAACCCUCCACCACAUUCCCCUUCAGGUCAUCCAGGUUUAGUUACGAUGGGGACCUGGUGUUUCACCCUAAAUUCAGUUAACAGAAUGGUCGGGCAAGACCACCUAUAUUGGCUUUAUGCCUCACCAAAUUUAUAGAUGGCUAUUGAGAUUUUGGCCCUAGGUCCAUAUUAAAUUUAAAUAGGUAACAUUUAAUAAAGUUGCCCAGUUUUAAACCCAA